rnacentral:rRNA from 1 species
UACGGGGGGGGUAAGCGUUGUUCGGAAUUACUGGGCGUAAAGGGCUCGUAGGCGGCCAACUAAGUCGGACGUGAAAUCCCUCGGCUUAACCGGGGAACUGCGCUUGAUACUGGAUGGCUUGAGAUUGGGAGAUGGAUGCGGAAUUCCAGGUGUAGCGGUGAAAUGCGUAGAUAUCUGGAGGAACACCGGUGGCGAAGGCGGCAUCCUGGACCAACACUGACGCUGAGGAGCGAAAGCCAGGGGAGCAAACGGG